rnacentral:rRNA from 1 species
AUUGAAAGCUGGCGGCAGGCCUAACACAAGCAAGUCGAACGAGGGGCGGACGGGUGAGUAAUGUCUGGGAAACUGCCCGAUGGAGGGGGAUAACUACUGGAAACGGUAGCUAAUACCGCAUACCAUCGGAUGUGCCCCGAUGGGAUUAGCUCGUGGGUGGGGUAACGGCGCACCUAGGCGGCGAGCCCGAGCUGGUCUGAGAGGAUGAACAGCCACACGGGAAGGGAGACACGGUCGAGACUCCGAAGGGAGGCAGCGGUGGGGAAUAUUGCACAAUGGGCGCAAGCCUGAUACAGCCAGGCCGCGUGUAUGAAGAAGGCCUUCGGGUUGUAAAGUACUUUCAGCGAGGAGGCGUUACUCGCAGAAGAAGCAUCGGCUAACUCCGUGCCAGCAGCCGCGGUAAUUC